rnacentral:rRNA from 1 species
UACAGAGGUCUCAAGCGUUGUUCGGAUUCAUUGGGCGUAAAGGGUGUGUAGGUGGCGCCGUAAAGUCGGGUGUGAAAUUUCGGAGCUUAACUCCGAAACUGCAUUCGAUACUGCGGUGCUUGAGGAACUGGAGAGGAGACUGGAAAUUCAUGGUGAGAGUGAAAUGCGUAGAGAUCAAUGAGGAAGACCAGUGGCGAAGGCGGGUCUCUGGACAGUUCCGUGACAGCUGGAGAACACGAAGGCCAGGGAGCAAACGGG